rnacentral:rRNA from 1 species
GGUUAAGCGACUAAGCGUACACGGUGGAUGCCCUGGCAGUCAGAGGCGAUGAAGGACGUGCUAAUCUGCGAUAAGCGUCGGUAAGGUGAUAUGAACCGUUAUAACCGGCGAUUUCCGAAUGGGGAAACCCAGUGUGUUUCGACACACUAUCAUUAACUGAAUCCAUAGGUUAAUGAGGCGAACCGGGGGAACUGAAACAUCUAAGUACCCCGAGGAAAAGAAAUCAACCGAGAUUCCCCCAGUAGCGGCGAGCGAACGGGGAGCAGCCCAGAGCCUGAAUCAGUGUGUGUGUUAGUGGAAGCGUCUGGAAAGGCGCGCGAUACAGGGUGACAGCCCCGUACACAAAAAUGCACAUAUUGUGAGCUCGAUGAGUAGGGCGGGACACGUGGUAUCCUGUCUGAAUAUGGGGGGACCAUCCUCCAAGGCUAAAUACUCCUGACUGACCGAUAGUGAACCAGUACCGUGAGGGAAAGGCGAAAAGAACCCCGGCGAGGGGAGUGAAAAAGAACCUGAAACCGUGUACGUACAAGCAGUGGGAGCACAGAGCAAUCUGUGUGACUGCGUACCUUUUGUAUAAUGGGUCAGCGACUUAUAUUCUGUAGCAAGGUUAACCGAAUAGGGGAGCCGAAGGGAAACCGAGUCUUAACUGGGCGUUAAGUUGCAGGGUAUAGACCCGAAACCCGGUGAUCUAGCCAUGGGCAGGUUGAAGGUUGGGUAACACUAACUGGAGGACCGAACCGACUAAUGUUGAAAAAUUAGCGGAUGACUUGUGGCUGGGGGUGAAAGGCCAAUCAAACCGGGAGAUAGCUGGUUCUCCCCGAAAGCUAUUUAGGUAGCGCCUCGUGAAUUCAUCUCCGGGGGUAGAGCACUGUUUCGGCAAGGGGGUCAUCCCGACUUACCAACCCGAUGCAAACUGCGAAUACCGGAGAAUGUUAUCACGGGAGACACACGGCGGGUGCUAACGUCCGUCGUGAAGAGGGAAACAACCCAGACCGCCAGCUAAGGUCCCAAAGUCAUGGUUAAGUGGGAAACGAUGUGGGAAGGCCCAGACAGCCAGGAUGUUGGCUUAGAAGCAGCCAUCAUUUAAAGAAAGCGUAAUAGCUCACUGGUCGAGUCGGCCUGCGCGGAAGAUGUAACGGGGCUAAACCAUGCACCGAAGCUGCGGCAGCGACGCUUAUGCGUUGUUGGGUAGGGGAGCGUUCUGUAAGCCUGUGAAGGUGUGCUGUGAGGCAUGCUGGAGGUAUCAGAAGUGCGAAUGCUGACAUAAGUAACGAUAAAGCGGGUGAAAAGCCCGCUCGCCGGAAGACCAAGGGUUCCUGUCCAACGUUAAUCGGGGCAGGGUGAGUCGACCCCUAAGGCGAGGCCGAAAGGCGUAGUCGAUGGGAAACAGGUUAAUAUUCCUGUACUUGGUGUUACUGCGAAGGGGGGACGGAGAAGGCUAUGUUGGCCGGGCGACGGUUGUCCCGGUUUAAGCGUGUAGGCUGGUUUUCCAGGCAAAUCCGGAAAAUCAAGGCUGAGGCGUGAUGACGAGGCACUACGGUGCUGAAGCAACAAAUGCCCUGCUUCCAGGAAAAGCCUCUAAGCAUCAGGUAACAUCAAAUCGUACCCCAAACCGACACAGGUGGUCAGGUAGAGAAUACCAAGGCGCUUGAGAGAACUCGGGUGAAGGAACUAGGCAAAAUGGUGCCGUAACUUCGGGAGAAGGCACGCUGAUAUGUAGGUGAGGUCCCUCGCGGAUGGAGCUGAAAUCAGUCGAAGAUACCAGCUGGCUGCAACUGUUUAUUAAAAACACAGCACUGUGCAAACACGAAAGUGGACGUAUACGGUGUGACGCCUGCCCGGUGCCGGAAGGUUAAUUGAUGGGGUUAGCGGUAACGCGAAGCUCUUGAUCGAAGCCCCGGUAAACGGCGGCCGUAACUAUAACGGUCCUAAGGUAGCGAAAUUCCUUGUCGGGUAAGUUCCGACCUGCACGAAUGGCGUAAUGAUGGCCAGGCUGUCUCCACCCGAGACUCAGUGAAAUUGAACUCGCUGUGAAGAUGCAGUGUACCCGCGGCAAGACGGAAAGACCCCGUGAACCUUUACUAUAGCUUGACACUGAACAUUGAGCCUUGAUGUGUAGGAUAGGUGGGAGGCUUUGAAGUGUGGACGCCAGUCUGCAUGGAGCCGGCCUUGAAAUACCACCCUUUAAUGUUUGAUGUUCUAACGUUGGCCCCUGAUCGGGGUUGCGGACAGUGUCUGGUGGGUAGUUUGACUGGGGCGGUCUCCUCCUAAAGAGUAACGGAGGAGCACGAAGGUUGGCUAAUCCUGGUCGGACAUCAGGAGGUUAGUGCAAUGGCAUAAGCCAGCUUGACUGCGAGCGUGACGGCGCGAGCAGGUGCGAAAGCAGGUCAUAGUGAUCCGGUGGUUCUGAAUGGAAGGGCCAUCGCUCAACGGAUAAAAGGUACUCCGGGGAUAACAGGCUGAUACCGCCCAAGAGUUCAUAUCGACGGCGGUGUUUGGCACCUCGAUGUCGGCUCAUCACAUCCUGGGGCUGAAGUAGGUCCCAAGGGUAUGGCUGUUCGCCAUUUAAAGUGGUACGCGAGCUGGGUUUAGAACGUCGUGAGACAGUUCGGUCCCUAUCUGCCGUGGGCGCUGGAGAACUGAGGGGGGCUGCUCCUAGUACGAGAGGACCGGAGUGGACGCAUCACUGGUGUUCGGGUUGUCAUGCCAAUGGCACUGCCCGGUAGCUAAAUGCGGAAGAGAUAAGUGCUGAAAGCAUCUAAGCACGAAACUUGCCCCGAGAUGAGUUCUCCCUGACUCCUUGAGAGUCCUGAAGGAACGUUGAAGACGACGACGUUGAUAGGCCGGGUGUGUAAGCGCAGCGAUGCGUUGAGCUAACCGGUACUAAUGAACCGUGAGGCUUAACCUU